UGUAGGACUUGCUUCCACUGAGAAGAUAGUGGCGAACGGGUGAGUAACACGUGGGUAACCUGCCCAUAAGAGGGGGAUAACAUCCGGAAACGGGUGCUAAUACCGCAUAGUUUUCUUGAUCGCAUGAUUGGGAAAGGAAAGACGGCCUUUGUGCUGUCGCUUAUGGAUGGACCCGCGGCGUAUUAGUUAGUUGGUGAGGUAACGGCUCACCAAGACGAUGAUACGUAGCCGACCUGAGAGGGUGAUCGGCCACAUUGGGACUGAGACACGGCCCAAACUCCUACGGGAGGCAGCAGUAGGGAAUCUUCCGCAAUGGACGAAAGUCUGACGGAGCAACGCCGCGUGAGUGAAGAAAGGUUUUCGGAUCGUAAAACUCUGUUGUCAGAGAAGAACAAGUUGGAGAGUAACUGCUCCAGCCUUGACGGUAUCUGACCAGAAAGCCACGGCUAACUACGUGCCAGCCGCAGC
rnacentral:rRNA from 1 species